rnacentral:rRNA from 1 species
GAAAACCAUAGGAGGUCCAGCCUGCCCAGUGACAAAGUUAAACGGCCGCGGUACCCUAACCGUGCGAAGGUAGCGCAAUCACUUGUUCUUUAAAURAGGMCUAGUAUGAAUGGCAUCACGAGGGUUACAYUGUCUCCCCCAUCCAAUCAGUGAAACUGAUCCCCCCCGUGAAGAAGCGGGGAUAAGAAUAUAAGACGAGAAGACCCCAUGGAGCUUUAAACUCAGUAUCAACUGCUUUAGAAUAAACCUAAGUAACCUAGCAGAAAUGACUACUAGUUUUUGGUUGAGGUGACCGCGGAGCAAACACAACCUCCACGAUGAAUGGGCCUCCAACCCUUAUCCAAGARCUACCACUCUAAGAAUYAAAAAUUGACAAAAAUUGAUCCAAAUACUUUUGAUCAACGAACCAAGUUACCCUGGGGAUAACAGCGCAAUCCAUUUCAAGAGCUCCUAUCGACAAAUGGGUUUACGACCUCGAUGUUGGAUUMGGGUAUCCCAGUGGUGCAGCCGCUACUAAAGGUUCGUUUGUUCAACGAUUAAAACCCUACGUGAUCUGAGU